rnacentral:rRNA from 1 species
UACAGAGGGGGCAAGCGUUGUUCGGAAUUACUGGGCGUAAAGGGCGCGUAGGCGGCCUUCUAAGUCGAACGUGAAAUCCCCGGGCUCAACCCGGGAACUGCGUCCGAUACUGGAAGGCUUGAAUCCGGGAGAGGGAUGCGGAAUUCCAGGUGUAGCGGUGAAAUGCGUAGAUAUCAGGAGGAACACCGGUGGCGAAGGCGGAUCUCUGGGCCUUACCUGACGCUGAGGCGCGAAAGCUAGGGGAGCGAACAGG